UGACGGGACCCACUGAGAGACACCACAGCAAGAGUCAGACACAUGUUAUACAGCCAGACACCAGACAGACACAGAUACACCCACAGAGGUACAUGUCAUAAUGGCAGACGACGAAUUGAAGUUUUAAACAGACGUCCUACUGGAAUCGAUUUCAAGAAUGGGCAAAAAUGACCAUUAUUUUCAAAAAUCGAAUGAACACAAAUUCAAAUUCCACAAUGUGUACAAGACACAGUUGUCAAGGAAAUUAAAUACAAUGGGUCACUCAAAUCACUAGAUUUUUGCUAAGUGAGAAACAAGCAGGUCCUGUCUGAAAGGUAGAACCUACCGUUAACACAUUGUGCAGACUAAAUGACAAUUAGUUUC